rnacentral:tRNA from 1 species
GCGGCAGUAGCUCAGUGCUAGAGCCUCAGCUUCCCAUGCGGGGAGACCUGGGUUCGAUUCCCGGCUACAUCC